AGAGCGAACGCUGGCGGCAGGCCUAACACAUGCAAGUCGAGCGCCCGUAGCAAUACGGGAGCGGCAGACGGGAUAGUAACACGUGGGAACGCGCCCUUCGGUUCGGAAUAACUCAGGGAAACUUGAGCUAAUACCGAAUACGCCCUUACGGGGAAAGAUUUAUUGCCGAAGGAACGGCCCGCGUCCGAUUAGCUAGUUGGUGAGGUAAUGGCUCACCAAGGCUACGAUCGGUAGCUGGUCUGAGAGGAUGACCAGCAUCACUGGGACUGAGACACGGCCCAGACUCCUACGGGAGGCAGCAGUGGGGAAUAUGGACAAUGGGCGCAAGCCUGAUCCAGCCAUGCCGCGUGGAUGAUGAAGGCCUUAGGGUUGUAAAGUCCUUUAACGGGGAAGAUAAUGACGGUACCGUAGAAUAAGCCCGGACUAACUCGUGCCAGCAGCCG
rnacentral:rRNA from 1 species